GGAGCCGUAGCAAGAGACAGUUUUAACGGAGGGUUCAGUUACUUGACGUAGACCCGAAACCGGGCGACCUACCCAUGAGCAGGAUGAAGCGAAAGUAAAAUUUCGGGGAGGUCCGAACCCACGAGCGUUGAAAAGCUCGGGGAUGACUUGUGGGUAGCGGUGAAAUUCCAAUCGAGCCCGGAGAUAGCUGGUUCUCCCCGAAAUAGCUUUAGGGCUAGCCUCAAGGUGAGAGAUACGGAGGUAGAGCACUGAAUGUCCUAGGGGGUAUUGCACCUACCGAAGACUAUCAAACUCCGAAUGCCGUCAUCUUAUACUUGGGAGUCAGACUGUGGGUGAUAAGAUUCAUAGUCGAAAGGGCAACAGCCCAGAUCGUCAGCUAAGGUCCCUAAAUGUAAGUUAAGUGGUAAAGGAUGUGGGAUUGCACAGACAACCAGGAUGUUGGCUUAGAAGCAGCCACUCAUUCAAAGAGUGCGUAAUAGCUCACUGGUCGAGUGAUCCUGCGCCGAAGAUUUCCGGGGCUAAAACUUACUACCGAAGCUACGGCAUCAGUAAUGAUGGGUAGGGGAGCUUCCCAUACGGGUUGAAGCAUGACCGUAAGGACAUGUGGACAGUAUGGGAGUGAGAAUGUUGGCAUGAGUAGCGAGAUGUGGGUGAGAAUCCCACAGGCCGUAAACCCAAGGU
rnacentral:rRNA from 1 species